rnacentral:tRNA from 1 species
AGGAUAUUAGUUAAAUAAUAACAAUUAAAUUGCAUUUAAAAAUUAAUUUUUUAAAAAAAAAUUAUAUCU